GAUGAACGCUAGCGGCAGGCCUAACACAUGCAAGUCGAGGGGUAGAGGAAGCUUGCUUCCUUGAGACCGGCGCACGGGUGCGUAACGCGUAUGCAAUCUACCUUUUACAGAGGGAUAGCCCAGAGAAAUUUGGAUUAAUACCUCAUAGUAUCUUUGCCUGGCAUCGGGUGAUUAUUAAAGUUCCAACGGUAAAAGAUGAGCAUGCGUCCUAUUAGCUAGAUGGUAAGGUAACGGCUUACCAUGGCAACGAUAGGUAGGGGUCCUGAGAGGGAGAUCCCCCACACAGGUACUGAGACACGGACCAGACUCAUACGGGAGGCAGAAGUGAGGAAUAUUGGACAAUGGGCGCAAGCCUGAUCCAGCCAUGCCGCGUGCAGGAAGACGGUCCUAUGGAUUGUAAACUGCUUUUAUACAGGAAGAAACCCUCCCACGUGUGGGAGAUUGACGGUACUGUAGGAAUAAGGAUCGGCUAACUCCGUGCCAGCCGCCGCAGUAAAAC
rnacentral:rRNA from 1 species